rnacentral:rRNA from 1 species
GAUGAACGCUGGCGGCGUGCCUAAUACAUGCAAGUCGAGCGAACGGACGAGAAGCUUGCUUCUCUGAUGUUAGCGGCGGACGGGUGAGUAACACGUGGAUAACCUACCUAUAAGACUGGGAUAACUUCGGGAAACCGGAGCUAAUACCGGAUGAUAUUUUGAACCGCAUGGUUCAAAAGUGAAAGACGGUCUUGCUGUCACUUAUAGAUGGAUCCGCGCUGCAUUAGCUAGUUGGUAAGGUAACGGCUUACCAAGGCAACGAUGCAUAGCCGACCUGAGAGGGUGAUCGGCCACACUGGAACUGAGACACGGUCCAGACUCCUACGGGAGGCAGCAGUAGGGAAUCUUCCGCAAUGGGCGAAAGCCUGACGGAGCAACGCCGCGUGAGUGAUGAAGGUCUUCGGAUCGUAAAACUCUGUUAUUAGGGAAGAACAUAUGUGUAAGUAACUGUGCACGUCUUGACGGUACCUAGUCAGAAAGCCACGGCUAACUACGUG